UACGUAGGUGGCAAGCGUUGUCCGGAAUUAUUGGGCGUAAAGCGCGCGCAGGUGGUUCCUUAAGUCUGAUGUGAAAGCCCCCGGCUCAACCGGGGAGGGUCAUUGGAAACUGGGGAACUUGAGUGCAGAAGAGGAGAGUGGAAUUCCACGUGUAGCGGUGAAAUGCGUAGAUAUGUGGAGGAACACCAGUGGCGAAGGCGGCUCUCUGGCCUGUAACUGACACUGAGGCUCGAAAGCGUGGGGAGCAAACAGG
rnacentral:rRNA from 1 species